rnacentral:tRNA from 1 species
GGACUGUGGCUCAGUGGCAAAGCACUUGCCUUGCACAUCUGAGGCACUGGGUUCAAACCUCAGCACCA